rnacentral:lncRNA from 1 species
CUUAUGCCAAAAGUUUAUUAAUAUACAAAAUGCAGGUUCUCUGUAAUUUUCUCCCCAAGGUCCAGAAACCUGCCAAAAUGGAUAAGAUACAAUGUUACAUUGAAUUCCAUAAGCCACACACACACAAAAGAUUAAAAAACUUUGCAUAGGAACACUUGAUAAAAAAUAACUGAAACAACAGAUAUCUAUACAUUUUUUUGAUUCUGCUAUUCUAUUUUGGUUUUGAUUGACAGCUGGAUUAUUGUGUGGGUCAUUGAGGAAUGGUGAUCGAGGUUGGAAGUAGGGGUUGUGGUGUUUUUG